GACCUCGAAUCAGGUGGACU
rnacentral:rRNA from 1 species